UACGUAGGUGACAAGCGUUGUCCGGAUUUACUGGGCGUAAAGAGCGCACAGGCGGUCGUUCAAGUCGAGUGUGAAAGCCCCCGGCUCAACUGGGGAGGGUCAUUCGAUACUGUCGGGCUAGAGGCAGGUAGGGGAGAUCGGAAUUCCCGGUGUAGCGGUGAAAUGCGCAGAUAUCGGGAGGAACACCGGUGGCGAAGGCGGAUCUCUGGGCCUGUCCUGACGCUCAGGCGCGAAAGCUAGGGGAGCGAACAGG
rnacentral:rRNA from 1 species